rnacentral:rRNA from 1 species
AGUAACGCUGGCGGUAGGCCUAACACAUGCAAGUCGAACGGCAGCACAGUAAGAGCUUGCUCUUAUGGGUGGCGAGUGGCGGACGGGUGAGGAAUACAUCGGAAUCUACCUUUUCGUGGGGGAUAACGUAGGGAAACUUACGCUAAUACCGCAUACGACCUUCGGGUGAAAGCAGGGGACCUUCGGGCCUUGCGCGGAUA